rnacentral:rRNA from 1 species
GGACUACAGGGGUAUCUAAUCCCGUUUGCUCCCCUGGCUUUCGCGCCUCAGCGUCAGAAGAGGUCCAGCGGAUCGCUUUCGCCACCGGCGUUCCUUCCGAUAUCAACGCAUUUCACCGCUCCACCGGAAGUUCCAUCCGCCCCUACCUCCCUCGAGGUCUCCAGUAUCCGAGGCACUUUUCCGGUUGGGCCGAAAGAUUUCACCCCGGACUUGGAGACCCGCCUACGCGCCCUUUAAGCCCAGUGAUUCCGAACAACGUUCGCACGGUUCGUCUUACCGCGGCUGCUGGCAC